UCCGAUUGAUCCCGUCGGACCCCACUGCUAUCGAGAUGGGACUAAGGUAUGCUAGUCGAACGACCAGAACUAUGUCUGGAAGUGGCACACUGCUCAGUAACACGUAGCUAACCUACCCUUAGGACGUGGAUACCCCCGAGAAAUUGGGGUUAAUCCGCGAUAGAUGUAAUGUCCUGGAAUGGUAUUACGUCUAAAGGUAUUUCAUACAUGUUUGAAAUAUGCCUAAGGAUGGGGCUGCGGCCGAUCAGGCUGUUGGUGAGGUAAUGGCUCACCAAACCUUUGACCGGUACGGGCCAUGAGGGUGGUAGCCCGGAGAUGGACACUGAGACAAGGGUCCAGGCCCUAAGGGGCGCAGCAACCGCGAAACCUCCACAAUGCACUCACGUGCGAUGGGGCUACCUCGAGUGCCACCUGAUGAAGGUGGCUUUUCCUUGGUCUUCAAAGCCUUGGGAAUAAGGGGGGCAAGACUGGUGUCAGCCGCCGCGGUAACACCAGCCCCUCGAGUGGUGGGGAUGAUUAUUUGGCCUAAAGCGUCCGUAGCCGGCCGAGCAAGUCUUCCGUUAAAUCCAGCGUCUCAAGCGUUGGACCGCGGGAGAUACUACACGGCUAGAGAGUGGGAGAGGUCAGCGGUAUUCUGGGGGUAGGGGCGAAAUCCUUUGAUCCCCGGAGGACCACCAGUGGCGAAGGCUGCUGACUAGAACACGUCUGACGGUCAGGGACGAAAGCUGGGGUAGCGAACCGGAUUAGAUACCCGGGUAGUCCCAGCCGUAAACGAUGCAUGCUAGGUGUUGGGUUGGCCACGAGCCACCCCAGUGCCGCAGGGAAGCCGUUAAGCAUGCCGCCUGGGAAGUACGAUCGCAAGAUUGAAACUUAAAGGAAUUGGCGGGGGAGCACCACCAGGCGUGAAGCCUGCGGUUUAAUUGGAGUCAACGCCGGGAACCUUACCGGGAGCGACAGCAGAAUGAAGGCCAGAUUGAAGAUCUUGCCAGACGAGCUGAGAGGAGGUGCAUGGCCGUCGCCAGUUCGUGCCGUGAGGUGUUCUCUUAAGUAGAUAACGAACGAGACCCGUGCCACAUGUUGCCACCAGUAUCUAAAGGAUAGCUGAGCACUCUUGUGGGACCGCAGCCGAUAAGGCUGAGGAAGGUACGGGCAACGGCAGGUCAGUAUGCCCCGAAUCUCCCGGGCCACACGCGGGCUGCAAUGGUACAGACAGAGGGCUGCCACCCCGAAAGGGGGAGCCAAUCCCUAAACUGUACCUCAGUUGGGAUCGAGGGUUGCAACCCACCCUCGUGAACAUGGAAUGCCUAGUAACCGCCAGUCAUCAUCUGGCGGUGAAUACGUCCCUGCUCCUCGCACACACUGCCCGUCGAACCACCCGAAUGAGGUUUGGGUGAGGAAUGGUCGAAUGUUGGCCGUUUCGAACCUGGGCCUCGUAAGGAGGGUUAAGUCGUAACAAGGUG
rnacentral:rRNA from 1 species